UAGGGAAUCUUCGGCAAUGGACGAAAGUCUGACCGAGCAACGCCGCGUGAGUGAAGAAGGUCUUCGGAUCGUAAAACUCUGUUGUUAGAGAAGAACAAGGACGUUAGUAACUGAACGUCCCCUGACGGUAUCUAACCAGAAAGCCACGGCUAACUACGUGCCAGCAGCCGCGGUAAUACGUAGGUGGCAAGCGUUGUCCGGAUUUAUUGGGCGUAAAGCGAGCGCAGGCGGUUUCUUAAGUCUGAUGUGAAAGCCCCCGGCUCAACCGGGGAGGGUCAUUGGAAACUGGGAGACUUGUGUGCAGAAGAGGAGAGUGGAAUUCCAUGUGUAGCGGUGAAAUGCGUAGAUAUAUGGAGGAACACCAGUGGCGAAGGCGGCUCUCUGGUCUGUAACUGACGCUGAGGCUCGAAAGCGUGGGGAGCAAACAGG
rnacentral:rRNA from 1 species